CUGUUGAGUACGUGAUACCCGGCACAACAUCAGCACCGGGUCCGAGAACAGAGAGACAGUGGUUCGAGACCCGGUGGAUCAAGACCCGGAGCUGUGAUUUGAGCACAGCACUGACUGGGAGACACAGGCCGGUGGAUCUCUGAGUCUACAGAGCAAGAUCCAGGACAGCCAUGGCUACACAAUGAGACCCUGUCUGAACAAGCAGCAGACUUAUCCUUGGCUUGAGACCAGCAGCUGACACUCCUGAGACCAUUCUGAGCAACCUAUUGUGCUAUAGAUAGGAGGCAUGCCCCAGCCCACCCAUCUACCCACCCACCCCUCUACAGGAGCCCAGACCCUUCUGCAGCCUGCAGUGCCUGUGACAAAUGCAGGCAGGCCAGCCACACCAGAAACCACAGAAGCAGCCUCCGCCCACCAUGACCAGGGACUAUAGUCUCCCAAGACUAUGGAGUUUCUCUCUGACCUACUGGAUGGUGCUGAUUGUAGCAAAAGAGCCAACAUGUAGGAGUGAACAGCUGUCUGAACAACCGAAUUGUGUGUGCCCUGGACAUCAGAGUGCCCUUAUGCCAAUUGUUUCAUCAGUCAACUCAUUUUCAUAACAGCACCACAAAUUCAAAAACAAAUAAAC
rnacentral:lncRNA from 1 species